CUGGCGGUUUUCUAAGGUGCUUUCAUCCUGUGUCCUUGAACUGCUUCCAUCACUCUUAGUCUCAGCAGGAGGAGAUGCCCAGCCAGCUCUGUGUGUGGAAUGGAUUCUCAGUGGGCCAGCUCCUGCAUGUUGGUGUGUUGGUGCAUGUUAGACUGCCAUUCAGCAAAAGGCAAGACUCUGCCUCCACUCUGAGUAUUCUGGAAAAUGCAAGAAGAUGACCACCUGCAAUUCCAGUAGCAACUCCCCACCAGACAUGGGAUUUGCCAGUGGUUAGAUCCUGGGCACCCAGCCUCCAGAGACGUGGAAAAUAAAUGU